CCGAACCGUCGACACGAGUUGUUGCUGGUCCUCAAAUGGGGGCAUGUGCACGCUCUGUUUGCACAUCCACUCACACCUGUGCACCCUCCAUAGUUCUAUAGCCCCGUGGGGGCUCUGUGUCCCCCCCCUGCUGUGGUUCUAUGCAUUUAUACACACACGCUAUAAUAAAGUCUCAUGGAAUGUAUGCCGCGUUUAACGCAAUACAAUA
rnacentral:misc_RNA from 1 species